GUUUGGCACUUCUGAGAAAUGACCUCAGUCUAACUUUUGUUGUCACUUAGUAGAGGUGUUGAUUCAAUGGCAUGAGAUGCAUCUAACAGCUGUGACAACAUGACUUACCAUUUUGUUUUACUUCUUUCAAUAAUGUGGCACAUGAUUCCAUUGCUAGUUGUGACCUCAUCAUAUGUCAGCAAUGUUAUAUAGCCAAGAUUUGGUUCAUCAAACAGAGGGAUUCAUGUAGAUACCACAAAUAAAUUGUUAUAGCCCAAAACCAAAUUCAGCCC
rnacentral:lncRNA from 1 species